ensembl:lncRNA
CGGCACCGUGUCGCUUCAGCUGCACUCACACAGCCGCAACACGAGCACAUCGGAAAAGUGCAUCUCUAGCCUACAGCAUCGCCAAAUCCAUCCGAUCACUACAAUCACAACAGUGCCGCGUUUCACCGAGAGGACACACAUAACCGGCGACGUCGUGGACCGAAAUCGGAGACCUGGCUCCUUAAAAGCUCUUCGUAUGAUCCGGACUGCUGUGCCCCAUUCACUGGGCUUUCUUUUAGGUGAUCGGGAAAUAUUCGGUACGUUUUCUUCAAACUUCAGCCGACAAAGACUGCACACAAGCCGGAGCGCGGUUGGGCGCGGGGAAGCAUGGAAUAGACAGAAGUGAACGGUUAAGAGAACCCCUGCUUCCUUGUCUAGUUUAAAGACGCAGUAAUCAGCAGCUCGGUCGGGUCAGAAAUCUUCAAGCAAGACUCGUGUGGACGGAUAAGGACCGCAAGAUGUCCAUUCCGGAGAAGGUCAGCUUUGCUAGAGUGUCUGGUACGUUUCGUCAAUAAGCAAGGCCAAGAACCGCCUACUUUAACAUAAAGAAGCCAUUUGAGUGACAUGGCAGAUGACCAACUACAGACCUUUUCCCACAGCCUGUUGGCAAACCUGCUUGAUUAUCGUGUUUGUUCACCACUAAGUGCUUCAUACAAAUCUCUUUAAUAACUUUUAAAGGCGAGGGUCCAGUGACUGAAAUGAUAAUGAUGUUUGCUUUCCCACUGAAUUUGAUUUCCUCUGAAAGCUGGUACCUGGAUGUAUGUAUAUACAGAAAUGUGGAGAGCCAUUCAGAUUGCAGACUUCAACAUUCUAAAGAUUGUGGCCGGAAAAGUGCACAAAAGAUUUUAGCUGCUUUGUAACCAGUAAGUAGAGCAUCUCAGGCUGAGACGAGGUUUACUAUGGAAAGUCCAAUCCAUCAGUGUUUUAUACAGAGGACAACAUAAUAGACAGCAUACAUGCUUUAUUGCUUUUAGCUAUUUAUUCUCCCUUAAAUAUGUUUGUUAUUGGCAUUAUCACUGCAGCUCCCAUUCAGUUUAUUGUAAUUAACAGUAAAGAAUAACCUUCCUACAACUCCUCAGUUUUGUUCAUGUUCAUUAGGUUUAUUUUGUCAUGGCAAUGAAAUGAUGCUGCCCCUCCCAAACCCAUGGUGUUACUAGUUUUUAGUUCCAGACUAGCAGCAUUUUGAUGCUGACUCAGACUGAUUUUCUGGGCAAGAAUCGACGAUUUUGUGGCACAAUAGGUGGAAUAGAUUGUGAUUUAGACAUUGACUCUGUCCAUUAAAAAAAAUGCUUUCAUUUUUUUUUUUGCUGUCUUUCUCAGUCUGUCUGCUGAGUGCGUGUGAUUUUUGGUCUGCUUUUGGCUGCUAUUUUGACCAUUCUCCACUAUGCUCCAUUCAAGAGCCCUUUUAGCACUUGUCAUCCCAAUGAACUGCUUUAGCUUUAAAAUGGUUUCAUCCACAAAUGACUGUUGUGUCAGGAGUGUGUUUAAGCAUUGUAAUGGUGUGUAUAGUACAAGUUUUAGGUAUCUGGACAUAUAUUUGAGUUCUUUACGAAUGCAUGUCUGCACGUGGACCUGUGGGAGUGUGUGUGUGUGUGUGUGUGUGUGUGUGUGUUGAGGGGUCAGAGAGUCUUCAGGAUUAGGCUGGUGUGCUUUGUGUAAUUCGUAGUGAUGCAUAGGAGCAGAAGAAUGUCGACUGUAUUAUCAGUUAUCAGUGGUACUGGAGCACAUUAGUCCUACUAUCGUCUCCUUUCUCCUCUCCACUCUUCUCAUAGGGUCAUUGGUUACCAGUCACCAUGGCAACUCUCAUGGCCUUUCCAGCCAAUGGCAGUGGGACAUUAGAUGUCUGGGCCGUCAUACUCUAAAUGUCUAUAUAAUGGAGGAAUAGAAAUAGAUGAAAAACCAUAUAGACACAGUAGCUCUCCCGAAUCGUCAUGGCAUAAGCAGGUUACAUUUCCUUACUGUGUAAGUUUGUAUCAUCCAUAGAUUCUUUGUUAGUGUAUGUACCAUUCCUGAGUAUAAGCAUUUAUUCUAACAAUGGUUGUUCUGUGUUCUCCUUACAGCUGUCUCACAGCUGUUUAUGGAUACCAAAGCCAAUGUCAAAGCCAAACAGCACCUGAUCCACUAUAUAGUCAAUUUUAUAGUCAUUUCCAAAAGCACAUGAAAAUAUCCAGUGUUCUCAUGUAGUCCCAAAUGCAUUGCACUAGGUUAGCGUCCAAUUUAUCCUUCCUCAUUUGUGAGGAAUAGGACAAUAUUUCAGACACCAGACUUGCAGAACUUCAUUGUUGUCUCCUUUACGAGCAAUAAAACUGAAUCUGUCCUGCUUCACUGGUUAAGUUCAUUUAUUCGUCUUCGGUAACUGUUUUAUCCUGGUCAGUGUCACGAUGAAUCCUAUCCCAGAAACACUGAGUGUGAGGAGCGAAUACGCUCUGGAUAGGACGCCAAGCCAUCACAGGACUCCAUGAGCACACAUAUUCACACACUCACACUUAGGGGCAAUUAAGCAUAACCAGUUCAUCUAUAGACAGUUUUUUGGGAGAGAGGGGGAAACUGGAGAAUAUGGAGGAACAUGUGAAGCUCUACACAGAAAGUAACCCAAGCUCAUGUCUCUCCAUUUGUCUCUCGACUUGUGCUAACUUGUGUGUACUAUACCCCCGAUACCCAGCAAUGAUAAAAAUAAAUAACUAAAUGAAUAGCUCACAGGCUGAUGACAUCAUCUGGGAGUGAGUCGAUUGAGGUGUGUGUGUGUGUGUGUGUGUGUUUGGGUGGGUGAAUGUGUGAUAUUGGUCAGUUGAGAUUUUGGUCAAUUGAAAUUGACUUUUACCCCAAGGCAGUAUAUAUAUG